GGAUAAUUAUUUAUAAAUUAAAUAUUCUAACACUAUUUUUGUCUCCUCCAUUUAUAUGACUAUCGAACACAAUAGUUUUUAGGUAAAAACAAGAAAAGGGAAUAAUAACUUAUUUAUAAAUAAUUACCACUCAAUCCAGUCUUAAAUUUAAAAAUAWAAAGAAAAAAUAAAUAAAUAAAUAAAUAAUAAAUAAAUUACUAUUUAUAUAAAUAAUAGACCUUAUCCUUUUUAUUUUGAGAAAUAAGAGGGAUUGGCUAUGCAAGAACUGGUA
rnacentral:rRNA from 1 species